GACGAACGCUGGCGGCGUGCUUAACACAUGCAAGUCGAACGGAAAGGCCCUGCUUUUGUGGGGUACUCGAGUGGUGAACGGGUGAGUAACACGUGAGUAACCUGCCCUUGACUUUGGGAUAACUUCAGGAAACUGGGGCUAAUACCGGAUAGGAGCUCCUGCUGCAUGGUGGGGGUUGGAAAGUUUCGGCGGUUGGGGAUGGACUCGCGGCUUAUCAGCUUGUUGGUGGGGUAGUGGCUUACCAAGGCUUUGACGGGUAGCCGGCCUGAGGGGGUGACCGGCCACAUUGGGACUGAGAUACGGCCCAGACUCCUACGGGAGGCAGCAGUGGGGAAUAUUGCACAAUGGGCGGAAGCCUGAUGCAGCAACGCCGCGUGCGGGAUGACGGCCUUCGGGUUGUAAACCGCUUUCGCCUGUGACGAAGCGUGAGUGACGGUAAUGGGUAAAGAAGCACCGGCUAACUACGUG
rnacentral:rRNA from 1 species